CACGCAGGCGGUCUGCUAAGUUCGGAGUGACCAGUCACCAGCUUAACUGGUGAAGGACUUUGAAAACUGGCGGACUUGAGAGCGAGAGAGGGACAUGGAAUUUCGGGUGGAGCAGUGAAAUGCGUAGAUAUCCGGAGGAAUACCAAAGGCGAAGGCAGUGUCCUGGCUCGUAUCUGACGCUGAGGUGCGAAAGCUAGGGGAGCGAACGGGAUUAGAUACCCCGGUAGUCCUAGCCGUAAACGAUGACCACUAGGCGUGGGAGGUAUCGACCCCUUCCGUGCCGCAGUUAACACAAUAAGUGGUCCGCCUGGGGAGUACGGUCGCAAGACUAAA
rnacentral:rRNA from 1 species